rnacentral:rRNA from 1 species
UUGGAGGGCAAGUCUGGUGCCAGCAGCCGCGGUAACUCCAGCUCCAAUAGCGUAUAUUAAAGUUGUUGCAGUUAAAAAGCUCGUAGUUGAAUUUCGAGACCGGCUUACUGGUCGUGCUAUUGUACGUACUGGUAUAAUCGGUUUCUCCUUUCUGACGAACUAUAAUGCCAUUAAUUUGGUGUUAUAGGGAAUCAGGACUGUUACUUUGAAAAAAUUAGAGUGUUUAAAGCAGGC